rnacentral:misc_RNA from 1 species
UUUCCGUAGGUGAACCUGCGGAAGGAUCAUUAAAGUUAUAGUCCCCCGGCCCCUCCGGGCUGGGGUCUUCUAUACCACCCUUUGUUUAUUACACCUUUGUUGCUUUGGCAGGCCUGCCCUCGGGCUGCUGGCUCCGGCCGGCUAGUGCCUGCCAGAGGACCUAAACUCUGUUUGUAUAUGAAGUCUGAGUACUAUAUAAUAGUUAAAACUUUCAACAACGGAUCUCUUGGUUCUG